rnacentral:rRNA from 1 species
GACGAACCGUGCGAACGUUGUUCGGAAUCACUGGGCUUAAAGGGCGCGUAGGCGGGUGGUCAAGUCAGGGGUGAAAUCUUUCAGCUCAACUGGAAAACAGCUUCUGAUACUGGCCAUCUUGAGGGAGGUAGGGGCAUGUGGAACUUCCGGUGGAGCGGUGAAAUGCGUAGAUAUCGGAAGGAACGCCGGUGGCGAAAGCGACGUGCUGGACCUUUUCUGACGCUGAGGCGCGAAAGCCAGGGGAGCAAACGGG